AUACGUAGGUGGCAAGCGUUGUCCGGAAUUAUUGGGCGUAAAGGGCGUGUAGGCGGUCUUGCAAGUCAGAAGUGAAAUUCCUGAGCUCAACUCGGGCGCUGCUUCUGAAACUGCAGGUCUUGAGUGCUGGAGGGGAUAGCGGAAUUCCUAGUGGAGCGGUAAAAUGCGCAGAUAUUAGGAAGAACACCGGUGGCGAAGGCGACUAUCUUGACAGUAACGGACGCUGAGGCGCGAAAGCGUGGGGAGCAAACAGGAUUAGAUACCCUGGUAUUCCACGCCGUAAACGAUGAUUACUAGGUGUUGGUUGUCAUAGACAAUCGGUGCCGCAGCAAACGCAAUAAGUAAUCCACCUGGGGAGUACGUUCGCAAGAAUGAAACUCAAAGGAAUUGACGGGG
rnacentral:rRNA from 1 species